rnacentral:ncRNA from 4 species
UGACUCCAGAUCAGAAGGUUGCGUGU